UGCAGGAAAGUGCACGAGAGCAGCUUGUCGGCACGCGUCCUAACCCCGAAACAGUCUUCGGCGGAAGCUUUCCACUCCUAUGAAUACAGUUAAGUCAUUAUAGUUACAUGCAACAGUCCGAUCCGAUGAAUAAACACGUUUUCAAAGUUCAAUGACUCUGGUCGCUAUGUUGUCAAAGAGGAAGGCAUGGAACCAGGUCCCGCUAGGCGGUUACGCGCAGUACGCACAUGUGUUCAGAGCCGCGAAACAGUGCGUGUCAUUACAACAGCACAUUAAAGUUUUAUUACAAGCGCUGACUGUCCACUCUCUGUGGACUUUUUUUUAAAACACCCCCAAAAGAUAACGUGCACUCACCUUACACAGCCAGAUCAGUGGAGGCGGGCUACGACCCUCAGAGACAAACACGGUGAGGGGUGGUCUGGAGAUUAAGGGGCACUCGGCAGCGCUGGAUCAGGCCACGGUGGUCAACAUUUCCCGGACCGGACAGAUAGACCGAGGCAAGAAGAAGAGGAGGAACAGCAGGCGAAAACAGCGGCCGUAAAGACUGCAGGCAGCUCAUCUCAUGCGGCCGGGUAGCACAUCCCUCAUCGCUGUCACUGGAAUUGUCCCGCACUGGUCGCAGCAGUCUCUCUCCUCCGCCUCCUCUAAUUCCAUCCAGGGACAAACUCCCAUCUGGGGAUGUGGGAUGGGCGUCCGAUGGAGAGCUAACCAUGCCUGAGUCCUCGCCCUCUGCCAUACCCUCAGAGGCGGCGUAACCCUGGUCGGGCAGGCUGCUGCCACCACUGCUGCUGCCCAAGGACAUGGUCUCCUCCUCGGGUGUUCCAGUUUCUGGUUUCUGGCCACUGGCUGUGGAGCACCGCAUGGAGUGAAGCCAAGCUGGGAGAGGAUAGAGUACAAUCUUAGCAUCAGUAUAGGGUGUUAUAACUGUUAGCAACUUCAACAUCCAAAUCAAAGGGUGUCCAAUGACCUAAGGUUAUAUAUUGUGAAACUAAAGGACUGAGAAUGGGUUUGUAUUGGGUUCAGACAUCAUCAAGGCCUCAGGUUCAUUACUCAUGCCAUGCAUACACUUCAAAAAACCUUUAGGCCUUCUUUAUUUUUCUCAAUUUCACAAGCCAUAAAUUAAUUUAAUACCUGGGAAAACACUGAGGAAAAAAACAAAUGUUUGUCUGAAAAGAACCAUAGGAUGUAGUGCGAGCAUGCAGAGUGAGAGAUGGAAGAAGAGGGGGGGAAAAAAAGAGGAAGUAUUUACGUUAGUUUCAACAUUCAUUUUAACACCCCCCCCACACAGAAAACACAAGCCAAAUAUACAAACACAAGCCCGGAGCACAACCACUUGUGGCUUGAUAAAACAGCUUUAAUGAUGUGUGGGUGGACUUGCUGUAAACAAACCCUUUUAAUUAGAUUGUAACGGUACUGUUUUAGGUUGCAGUGAAAGAUAGUAUUGCUUCAUACCCUCUCAUCUUUUUAGUACAGUCAUGCACUGGUCAGUCCUGUGGGUUUUACUUACUUAUUUAGUCUGUCACUGAUCUCAUUGAACUCGAGGCCAAGAGAAUAAAAUCAAUGUACUAUUUGUUAGCUUUUCAGCAGUCCAGCCAGCAUACACAUGACUGGGAACUCAACUGGGGAUUCUUCAAAAUGAGUAUAACAGUGAGUGACCUUGUUUGUAAUACCAUGUAUCUGUGAGUGCAUUUGGGCAUGCCCUGUCCUCCAAUAUGUAUGUGUGUGUGUGUGUGUGUGUGUGUGUGUGUGUGUGUGCGCGCGCGCGCGCUACGCCUGUCAGUUUUGGGCCUCUUCCUAAUGGUGUGGAGAGAACAGUCAGUUCCAGGAGAUGUGGUGAUGACUCACAGGGCUGUCCUCCCAGCUCAUUCCCAGCAACAGCUUAGUAAUGCCAGCAACAGCCACAAUCAGGGCACACACACACACACACACACACACACGUGCACAGACAAGCGCAUGUAUACACACAUAGUCUUAUGCACAUUUGCACACAUAUGUGCAUGCAUUACAAAUACACAAGUAAACAUCCACACAUAGUUCUCAAACCUCCGACUCAAUAUGACCUUAGGCACAUGCUUCAUUAAAGCCAAGCAAAAUGUGACUUUUCAAACUCUAACGAAGGCAAUCCAUGCACAAUCCCAAACCAACGUCCUUGAAUCUUGAUCCAGUCUUCAACUGUUUAAUUGAAAAAUGUCUUUCAAACAUAUGUUCUGUUUUUCAAUACAACACAGAUUGCCUUUACAGAUAAUUGCAUGUUCAUUAUCACAACUCUACUGGCUCAAGUACACAUACUCUAACUAGCCAAAAGAUUUGCACCAUAACUCAAUGGCUUAGAACUUGCAGAGGAUGAUUAAUGUUUUACAUAAAAUCGGAUUACUGUAAAAUGAAAUUUUCAUCAGAUCUGCCAUGUACAUUGCUGUCAUCAGAGCCAGAAAUUGACUAACCAUCAUCCAUCUGAAAAAUAUAAAAUUCUACUUCACUGAAAUAUUAUUUUGAGACACCACAAUAGCUACAUCCAUAUGGUACAGAACAAGUCAUUUGAUAAAAACAAGGACUCCAUUCCCUUGACAUAGUUACUGCACAAACAGAACAUUUGGGUUACUCGCAGUUUUGCAGCCAAAGAUCGGAAGGAUAUAUAUAUUUUGCUCUGGACCCCAAACAAUAAACCCCUUUUUCACACAGGAUGUCAGGACAGAAGAGUUAUUUUGGAUACCCACCUAUCAUUUAAGAACAAGCUGUGAAGUAUUCAUGCAACUAUAAGCUUUCUGAAUAAUAAACAAAAGUUUUAAAAACAAA